rnacentral:rRNA from 1 species
GAUCCUGGCUCAGGAUGAACGCUGGCGGCGUGCUUAACACAUGCAAGUCGAACGAAGCAAUCUAACGGAAGUUUUCGGUAUGGAAGCUAGAUUGACUGAGUGGCGGACGGGUGAGUAACGCGUGGGUAACCUGCCUCACACUGGGGGACAACAGUUAGAAAUGACUGCUAAUACCGCAUAAGCGCACAGGACCGCAUGGUCCGGUGUGAAAAACUCCGGUGGUGUGAGAUGGACCCGCGUUUG